CCUACGGGUGGCAGCAGUGGGGAAUAUUGGACAAUGGGCGCAAGCCUGACCCAGCGACGCCGCGUGAAGGAAGAAGGCUUUCGGGUUGUAAACUUCUUUUCUGAGGGACGAAGAACGUGACGGUACCUCAGGAAUAAGCCACGGCUACUUCCGUGCCAGCAGCCGCGGUAAUACGGAAGGUCCGGUCGUUAUCCGGAUUUAUUGGGUUUAAAGGGAGCGUAGGCCGCAUGGCAAGCGUGCUGUGAAAUGCCCGGGCUCAACCGGGGCCUUGCAGCGCGAACUGGCGGGCUUGAGUCCGGGGAAGGCAGGCGGAAUUCGUAGUGUAGCGGUGAAAUGCUUAGAUAUGACGAAGAACCCCGAUUGCGAAGGCAGCUUGCUGCAGAGGAACUGACGCUGAUGCUCGAAAGCGCGGGUAUCGAACAGGAUUAGAUACCCCAGUAGUC
rnacentral:rRNA from 1 species